CCGUCGAGGAGUGGCCGGCACCACCGUUACCACCGUUACCGCUGGACGGUGCGUCGGCGCCGGCUGCGCCGUCCGCACCGGCGUUGCCGGU
rnacentral:tRNA from 1 species